AGCGAACGCUGGCGGCAGGCUUAACACAUGCAAGUCGAGCGGGCAUCCUUGUGGUGUCAGCGGCAGACGGGUGAGUAACGCGUGGGAACGUGCCCUUCGGUUCGGAAUAACUCAGGGAAACUUGAGCUAAUACCGGAUACGUGCGAGAGCAGAAAGGUUUAUCUGCCGAAGGAUCGGCCCGCGUCUGAUUAGCUAGUUGGUGAGGUUAUGGCUCACCAAGGCGACGAUCAGUAGCUGGUCUGAGAGGAUGAUCAGCCACACUGGGACUGAGACACGGCCCAGACUCCUACGGGAGGCAGCAGUGGGGAAUAUUGGACAAUGGGGGCAACCCUGAUCCAGCCAUGCCGCGUGAGUGAUGACGGCCUCAGGGUUGUAAAGCUCUUUUCUCCGGGACGAUAAUGACGGUACCGGAGGAAUAAGCCCCGGCUAACUUCGUG
rnacentral:rRNA from 1 species